GUAGAAAAGAAAAAGUUCUAUAUGAUUCGCAAGACUGAGUUCAGGAAGUUUCUGACCAGAGCAAGUAUGAAUACUGAAAAAAAUUUUUCAUGAGAUUUACAGAUAAACUUGAGUCGAGCCAAUCUAGCAUAUGACUGACGAUGGGGUUUGACGAGUUCUUCAUAAUCUCUAUCUAGUCAGAACUCAUGAUAGAGAGAUUGUAUCACAUGAUAACUGUACCUAGGGGUUCAUCUUUUC
rnacentral:lncRNA from 1 species